AUGGUCUGUCGCUAUUGGUGGAAUAAUCAAGAUGAGGAGCGGCACCACUGGUUGAGCUGGCAGUGUCUUACAAAGCCGAAAACUGAGGGUGGCCUUGGCCUUCGGGAUCUCCACAUCUUUAACCUGGCCAUGUUGGCUAGACAAGGUUGGCGACUACUUCAAGACCCCGAGUCUCUUUGUGGGAGGGUGCUGCGGGCUAAAUAUUUCCCUGACGGGAAGCUUCUGGACGCUGUUCCCGCCCCUGGCAUAUCAUACAGUUGGCGCAGCAUCCUAAAAGGGGUGGACUUAUUGAAGGAAGGGAUUAUCUNNNNNNNNNNAGGGCGAUACAAGGAGGCCUAG
rnacentral:rRNA from 1 species